rnacentral:misc_RNA from 1 species
AAAGUGCGAUAAGUCUUGUGAAUUGCAGAUUGUGAAUCAUCGAAUCUUUGAACGCAAAUGGCGCUGGCGGGUUCCAAUCCCGACAGCAUGCCUGGCUGAGUGUCGGUGUUUUCCAUCACAUACCCUAGGUGUGUGGGACAAUUGGGAACGCUUUUUCUUUCUCUCUGAGAGAGAAAAGACGGUCCUCAAGUAUGGAAAGUAGCGCUCUUUCUGAAGAUUGCACCAAAGAAAGAUACGUGUGGUGAAUUCAACAUUUUGAAACACAGCGCGUGGUUCUUUUUUGCAGCAGUCUCACAAAGAAAAGAGUGUGAAUAGAGAAAAACAACAAAACACAAAACACACAAAUCGACAUCAGCUCAGACAAGAGUACCCGCUGAACUUAA